AAACGUCAAACAGUCCUAACCUGAUGAAUGAUUGAUUGAUUGGUUAAUUUAUUAAAUUUGUCAAUGGAUUUUGGAAUGAGUAACGAAUGACCUAUGAAAAUGAAUUUUGAAGAGAAUGAUGACAUGGCAUAUUUUUUGUAUGGCAGACAAAUUUUCCAAAACAAAAAAGAAAUAUGAAUAACAGCCGGUGUGAAUGUGAAAAUUUAAAGUUGAGAAUGCUUGAAUGAACAAUGUAUGCAUUUUGUGAAGAAUCUCAAGAUAUUGAAUGUGAAACUAACUCCGCUCCCUUAUUUACUUGAACCCCUUUACCCAAUUUCUCAGAAGAUAUCCAUAUUAUUUGUUUGAAAACCAACCCCCAAAAUGUGAGGAGAAGGAGAAUUUCCACAAUUCCUGAAGUUGAAAAGAACUCUCCAAAGAUUCGAAUUUGUUUUCCUCUCGCCUUUAUUUCCCCCUUUCUUUCUGUAUAUUUUUAUUCACAUUUUUUUUUUCAUUCAAACCCUUCAAUAAACAGGAAAAAAUGCAUACAUUUAAAAGCAAA